UACGUAGGGGGCAAGCGUUGUCCGGAUUUAUUGGGCGUAAAGAGCGUGUAGGCGGUUUGGUAGGUCCGUUGUGAAAACUCGAGGCUCAACCUCGAGACGCCGAUGGAAACCAUCAGACUAGAGUCCGGAAGAGGCGAGUGGAAUUCCUGGUGUAGCGGUGGAAUGCGCAGAUAUCAGGAGGAACACCAAUAGCGAAGGCAGCUCGCUGGGACGGUACUGACGCUAAGGCGCGAAAGCGUGGGGAGCGAACAGG
rnacentral:rRNA from 1 species